rnacentral:rRNA from 1 species
CACAUGCAAGUCGAACGGCAGCGCGGGGCAACCUGGCGGCGAGUGGCGAACGGGUGAGUAAUAUAUCGGAACGUACCCUGGAGUGGGGGAUAACGUAGCGAAAGUUACGCUAAUACCGCAUACGAUCUAAGGAUGAAAGUGGGGGAUCGCAAGACCCCAUGCUCCUGGAGCGGCCGAUAUCUGAUUAGCUAGUUGGUGGGGUAAAGGCCUACCAAGGCAUCGAUCAGUAGCUGGUCUGAGAGGACGACCAGCCACACUGGAACUGAGACACGGUCCAGACUCCUACGGGAGGCAGCAGUGGGGAAUUUUGGACAAUGGGCGAAAGCCUGAUCCAGCAAUGCCGCGUGAGUGAAGAAGGCCUUCGGGUUGUAAAGCUCUUUUGUCAGGGAAGAAACGGUGAGGGCUAAUAUCCCUUGCUAAUGACGGUACCUGAAGAAUAAGCACCGGCUAACUACGUGCCAGCAGCCGCGGUAAUACGUAGGGUGCAAGCGUUAAUCGGAAUUACUGGGCGUAAAGCGUGCGCAGGCGGUUUUGUAAGUCUGUCGUGAAAUCCCCGGGCUCAACCUGGGAAUUGCGAUGGAGACUGCAAGGCUAGAAUCUGGCAGAGGGGGGUAGAAUUCCACGUGUAGCAGUGAAAUGCGUAGAGAUGUGGAGGAACACCGAUGGCGAAGGCAGCCCCCUGGGUCAAGAUUGACGCUCAUGCACGAAAGCGUGGGGAGCAAACAGGAUUAGAUACCCUGGUAGUCCACGCCCUAAACGAUGUCUACUAGUUGUCGGGUUUUAAUUAACUUGGUAACGCAGCUAACGCGUGAAGUAGACCGCCUGGGGAGUACGGUCGCAAGAUUAAAACUCAAAGGAAUUGACGGGGACCCGCACAAGCGGUGGAUGAUGUGGAUUAAUUCGAUGCAACGCGAAAAAACCUUACCUACCCUUGACAUGUACGGAAGCCACGAGAGAUCGAGGUGUGCUCGAAAGAGAGCCGUAACAC